ACCCUAAGGUAAGUGAGUAUCGGCUUACGCCAAGUCCAUAUCUCAUAUGGUGUCUUUGCAACUGAUUAGUUCGGAAUCCAGUUGAGAAUAUGACAAGUAGUCUUAAGAGCAUAACCCUAAAGAGAACUAACAGACUUAUAAACCCCAUCAUGAAUUGAACUAUGUCUAACAAAGUCAAUUUCAAUAAGAUAGAAUCCUUAUUCUCUUCUAGAUAUGUCAAAAAUCUCACCGAAAAGGUAUUCUUCUCCUUGGUC
rnacentral:lncRNA from 1 species